rnacentral:rRNA from 1 species
AGCAGCCGCGGUAAUUCCAGCUCCAAUAGCGUAUAUUAAAGUUGUUGCAGUUAAAAAGCUCGUAGUUGAAUUUCGGGAUCAAAGGAUCGGUCAUGCCUUGGUAUGUACUGGUUUUAUUGGUUCUCACCUUCUAAAGAACCAUAAUGUCAUUCAUUUGAUGUUAUGGGGAAUUAGGACUGUUACCUUGAAAAAAUUAGAGUGUUUAAAGCAGGCUUACGCUUGAAUACAUUAGCAUGGAAUAAUGAAAUAGGACAUCAGAUUCUAUUUUGUUGGUUUCUAGGAUCGAUGUAAUGAUUAAUAGGGAUAGUUGGGGGCAUUAGUAUCCAAUUGUCAGAGGUGAAAUUCUUGGAUUUAUUGAAGACUAACUACUGCGAAAGCAUUUGCCAAGGAUGUUUUCAUUAAUCAAAGAACGAAAGUUNUGGGGACAAGACGAUCAGAUACCGUCGUAGUCUUAACCAUAAACUAUGCCGACUAGGGAUCGGAUGAUGUUAAUUUUUAUAAUGACUCAUUUCGGCACCUU